AUUGAACGCUGGCGGCAUGCCUAACACAUGCAAGUCGAACGGUAACGCGGGGGCAACCCUGGCGACGAGUGGCGGACGGGUGAGUAAUACGUAGGAAUCUGCCCAUAUGUGGGGGAUAACCCGGCGAAAGCCGGGCUAAUACCGCAUACGCUCUACGGAGGAAAGCGGGGGAUCGUAAGACCUCGCGCUAAUGGAUGAGCCUACGUCGGAUUAGCUAGUUGGUAGGGUAACGGCCUACCAAGGCGACGAUCCGUAGCUGGUCUGAGAGGACGAUCAGCCACACUGGGACUGAGACACGGCCCAGACUCCUACGGGAGGCAGCAGUGGGGAAUAUUGGACAAUGGGGGCAACCCUGAUCCAGCAAUGCCGCGUGUGUGAAGAAGGCCUGCGGGUUGUAAAGCACUUUCAGAGGGGAAGAAAAAAUCGGAGCUAACAUCUCCGGUCUUGACGCUACCCUUAGAAGAAGCACCGGCUAACUCCGUGCCAGCCGCCGCCGUAAAAC
rnacentral:rRNA from 1 species